rnacentral:rRNA from 1 species
GACGAACGCUGGCGGCGUGCUUAACACAUGCAAGUCGAACGGAAAGGCCUGCUUUCCCUUGUGGAUUGCGGGUGCUCGAGUGGCGAACGGGUGAGUAACACGUGAGUGAUCUGCCCCCAACUUGGGUAUAAGCCUGGGAAACUGGGUCUAAUUCCCGAUAGGACUGCAGGGUGGUGCCUGUGGUGGAAAACGAUUUUCUAGUGGUUGGGGAUGAGCUCGCGGCCUAUCAGCUUGUUGGUGGGGUAAUGGCCUACCAAGGCGGCGACGGGUAGCCGGCCUGAGAGGGUGGACGGCCACAUUGGGACUGAGAGACGGCCCAGACUCCUACGGGAGGCAGCAGUGGGGAAUAUUGCACAAUGGGCGGAAGCCUGAUGCAGCGACGCCGCGUGGGGGAUGACGGCCUUCGGGUUGUAAACUCCUUUCGACCGCGAGGAAGCCACCUGGUUGGAAGGGUGGUGACGGUAGUGGUAGAAGAAGCACCGGCUAACUACGUG